GAUGAACGCUGGCGGCGUGCUUAACACAUGCAAGUCGAACGGAAAGGCCCAAGCUUGCUUGCGCACUCGAGUGGCGAACGGGUGAGUAACACGCGUGUGAACUCCCCUUCACUUCGGGAUAAGCCUGGGAAACUGGGUCUAAUACCGGAUAGGAUCACUUCUUGCACGUUGUGGAGGAAAGAAUUGUCGGUGUGGGAUGAGCUGGCGGUCUAUCAGCUUGUCGGUGGGAUGAUGGCCUACCAAGGCGUGGACGGGUAGCCGGACUGAGAGAGUGCACGGCCGCACUGAGUCUGAGGUGAGGCACAGGCUGCGACGGGAGGCAGCAGUGCGGAAUCUUGCAGGAGGGGCGCCGGCCUGGUGCUGCAGGGCCGCGUAGCGGAUGACGGCCUUCUGAGUGAAGACUCCAUUUGCAAGGGACGAAGCACUUUGUGACGGUACCUAAUCAGAAAGCCCCGGCUAACUACGUG
rnacentral:rRNA from 1 species